rnacentral:rRNA from 1 species
GUGGAUUAGAUACCCUGGUAGUCCACGCCCUAAACGAUGAUCACUAGGUGUUGGGGAAGCGAUUCUCUAGUACCGCAGCUAACGCGUGAAGUGAUCCGCCUGGGGAGUACGGUCGCAAGAUUAAAACUCAAAGGAAUUGACGGGGACCCGCACAAGCGGUGGAUGAUGUGGAUUAAUUCGAUGCAACGCGAAGAACCUUACCUACCCUUGACAUGUACGGAAGCCCGCUGAGAGGCGGGUGUGCCCGAAAGGGAGCCGUAACACAGGUGCUGCACGGCUGUCGACAACU